CCACACAAACACAUGGAGAACAUGUAAAGUCCACACAGAAAGGCCACAGAUGGAAAUCGAUCCCCAGACCUCCUUGCUGUGUGGUAACAGUGCUAACCACUAAUCCACUGUGCUGCCCUUGAAAUUAUCAAUAUUUUU